CCCAGAGCUGUUCCUGCCCUCCCUGAGUCUGCUUCUCUGGGGUGAGGCCUGGUUCAGAGGAAGAGCUGACAAAAAUAAAACCAGAGUGACAACGUGCUGUGCAGGAAGUUGCAAGUCUGAGAGCCAGAACAGAACACAGGUACCUAGGUGACAUACCACAAGAAAAGUUGCCUGAAGAGCAGACCAUAGAACAAAACCCCGACUGUAUUUGCAUUUGUGGCCUUCUUCUUUUAGGAGUCAAGCCAACAAUGCCUACUGUUGUCAAGCAGAUCUAAGCCCAGGGUGGACCUCUGGCACUAACCAGCAGGUUGAGUUUAAACAAGAAGCCUCUCUGAGCCUCACUUUCCUUGUCUGAGAGCCACUGGGAGAAUUAUAGAAAAAACAUAUACUAAAGGAUCAAGCAUUUCUAAAAUAAAUAUGUGUCUUUCCUUCCUGUACUAUUGAGCACUGUUGAAGGUGAGAAAGACAAGGCUUCCACAAUCUUACCGUAGAGAAGCAUGUACACCACAUAUAUAUAUAUACACAUAAUACACAUACAUCACACACACAUAUACAUACAUGCCAUACACCACACACAUACAUACAUGCCAUACACCACACACAUACACCCCCAUACACACCACAUAGAUACACACACACCCCCAUACACAUGCUAAGUUUAGAACAUUUAUGAAGCAACAGCUCUAGCAACAACUGAAGAAUUUCACAGUUCUUCCAUUGGCUGCUUCCUAACUAGAAACAGAUUGCCUUACCCCCAGCUGUUUCUGGGCCAAAGUUCCUCUAAAUGUGGGUUUACUCCUGGUAAUUUCGUUUCCUUUUCUCAGUUAACAGUCAUGUGACACCAUUGCCUGGGUGUCCUCUGCAGCCCUGGCCUUUUAUCAGUUCAUAAAUCCAGAAACAGAAGGAAUGCUUACAAAAAUGUAUGUGGACUCCACCAUUUAUUGAGUGACUGCUGUGUGCCUGCGUACUCCUUGGUCUCUGAUCCUCAUCACAUCCAGCAAGAUACUGCUAUUAUCCCCCUCACACAACAAAUGAGGAAAUUAAGGUUCAGAAAGGUCAAAAAAAUCGCCCAAGGCCUCACAAGCAGUAAAGGGCAGGCUUGAGAUUUGAAAUUAGCCUGAGCUGUUUCAACACAAAACUCAAUUCCAGCUCUUAAGGAGUUCCCAAUCUACUGCCCUAAAUACUGCCGAGGCCAUUUCCCUCUCGAGUUUCCACUUGGGUCCUUCUUGGCCUGAGCUCCCUCUCCUCCCCUUUUCCCUCUGGGAGCAGACUCCUGCUGGCAAAAGGCUGGUGGUCUCCACUUCCCUUGCCUCCUGCCAGUGUAGGCAAUGCAAACUUCUCACUGGAAAACACCAUGCCUUCUGGACAAAGGCUCUGUGUGAUGUUCUAGGACCUGCCCGACAGGCCUUCUGUGAAAAGACCCAGCUGGGGUAGCUGUGCUGCCAGGCCUUGGAUGGGCAGAGUUCAUAAACAGCUUCUCCAGCCAUGGAGCUCCAAAUGCACCCAAGCCAGGUGCUGCCUACCUCAGUGUCCAACCAGCCCCAGGGCUUGGCCAGACAGAGUCCUGUUCUGGGAAACCAGCAGGGCAGCUGGAUGUUCAGGGGCGGAGGCUGUAGGUGGGCUCCUUCACAACAGAAAAUAAGCUUCUGAGUCAGGCAGACCCUGCUUUAAAUCCCUUUAAAUCUACCACCUUCUACCUUCCUGACAUUAGGAAAGUGGCUUCUAGCCGGGCGCGGUGCCUCAUGCCUGUAAUCCCAACAUUUUGGGAGGCCGAGGCAGGUGGAUCAUGAGGUCAGGAGUUCAAGACCAGCCUGGCCAACAUGAUGAAACCUUGUCUCUACUAAAAAUACAAAAAUUAGCUGGGCGUGGUGGCACAUGCCUGUAAUCCCAGCUACUCAGGAGGCUGAGGUAGGAGAAUUGCUUGAAUCUAGGAGGCAGAGGUUACAGUGAGCUGAGAUCAUUUCACUGCACUCCAGCCUGGGCAACAGAGCAAGAGUCCAUCACAAAAAAAAAAA
rnacentral:lncRNA from 10 species